GCGCCUUUAGCUCAGUUGGUAGAGCAACUGACUCUUAAUCAGUGGGUCGCAGGUUCGAUCCCUGCAAGGCGCA
rfam:Candidate division Zixibacteria bacterium RBG-1 RBG1_1C00001, whole genome shotgun sequence.